UACGUAGGGUGCAAGCGUUAAUCGGAAUUACUGGGCGUAAAGCGCACGUAGGUGGAUUAGAAAGUUGGGUGUGAAAGCCCUGGGCUCAACCUGGGAACUGCAUUCAAUACUACUAGUCUAGAGUACAGGAGAGGGAAGUGGAAUUUCCGGUGUAGUGGUGAAAUACGUAGAUAUCGGAAGGAACACCAAUGGCGAAGGCAACUUCCUGGACUGAUACUGACACUGAGGUGCGAAAGCGUGGGGAGCAAACAGG
rnacentral:rRNA from 1 species